AUGGACAGCAGAAUAAAGGAGAACCCAGAAAGAACAUUUGAUCUGGUUGUACAACUGGAGUGUCCCACAUCUGAACAUGAGGAUCCAACCGUGCUGUGGAGCUUCCCCCAGGACCACACAGACCAGGUUGGAACACACUCUGCUUUUGCUUUUUCAUUCUUCCUCCUCUCUCUCUCUCUCUCUGUCUCUCUCUCUCUCUCUCUGUCUCUCUCUCUCUCUCUCUGUCUCUCUCUCUCUCUGUCUCUCUCUCUCUCUCUCUGUCUCUCUCUGUCUCUCUCUCCAUCCAAACGCGUUCGCCGUUGCAGCCAACAUCUACCUCCUCCUCGUCCUCUGCUAACUCUCUUCUUUUCCUAAUGACCUCACUCACCCUGCCAUCCUGUGGUAACCUCCCCCAACACCUAUCCCCACCACUGCCGCUCUCCUCCUCAUCCCUAUCAGUGCUUCCUCUCCUCCUCUCUCUCCGUCUCCUUCUCUCUCUCCAUCUCCUCCUCCUUCCUGUCUCCCUCUGUCUCAUUGUAGGUCUGUUGCUGGUAAUGAAAAGCAGUGAGCAAGUCUUCAAUAACUGACGAAUCAGUAAUUAUCAUGUAAUCGUGACAGGAAUGCACACCUCUGUUUUCCACUUUUUAUCCCUACCUGUCCGUGUUUGUACCAUUUUUUUUCUUCUCAUUGUCCUACUCUGAAUGCUUUCUUUUGUUUCACAUUUACAGCAUUAUCUGUUUCAUUUUAAAUCUGAAAUUAACUUCUGCAUUGCAAUAUAUUUUGGCAUGCCAUUUGUUCUGUUCACACAUACGAUCAUAAAGUUUAACCACAUCUCUCUAAGUUCGAUAUUUUUCGAAAAUUAUCACUAUUUUGUUUGGCAGAUUGGUGUCAGAUCCCAGUAGUGACCCCAUUUAAUAAAUUGGGUGUUAUCCACGAGAGUUCUACUCA
rnacentral:lncRNA from 1 species